rnacentral:rRNA from 1 species
CAGUAGCCACGGUAAUACAGAGGAUGCAAGCGUUAUCCGGAAUGAUUGGGCGUAAAGCGUCUGUAGGUGGCUUUUCAAGUCCGCCGUCAAAUCCCCGGGCUCAACCCUGGACAGGCAGUGGAAACUACCAAGCUGGAGUACGGUAGGGGCAGAGGGAAUUUACGGUGGAGCGGUGAAAUGCGUAGAGAUGUGGAGGAACACCAGUGGCGAAGGCGACUCUCUGGUCUGUAACUGACGCUGAGGAGCGAAAGCGUGGGGAGCGAACAGGAUUAGAUACCCGCGUAGUCCCUGUCUCUUAUAC